GACAGAGGUGCCAAGCGUUACUGAGAAUCACUGGGUUUAAAGGGUGCGUAGGUGGUCCGUUAAGUCAGUUGUGAAAUCCCCGGGCUCAACCCGGGAACUGCUUCUGAUACUGGCGGACUUGAGGCCUGUAGGGGUCACUAGAACUGACGGUGGAGCGGUGAAAUGCGUAGAUAUCGUCAGGAAUGCCGGUGGUGAAGACGGGUGACUGGGCUGGUUCUGACACUGAGGCACGAAAGCGUGGGGAGCGAACGGG
rnacentral:rRNA from 1 species